AUCUUCUCACCUCUUUUUUUUAGCUUUUUCUUCCUCUCUUUCUCUAAAGCACUAGAAUGGUUUUUGAAGAAGAGUUUAGUGAAUUUGGGUAUUGUGAGCUGAGAAGAGGCUAGUGAGCAGGGAUUCAGCUAGAAAGAAAGAAAUUGAGGUCGGCGACGCACUAAUUACAGUAGAAGCCAAUUCGGCUCUAAUUGCAUUGAGUCGCGUGAUAUUGUUGUUGGCACAGUUCGAGACGUGGAUUCUAGUUGUUGACACCACUACAGGUUCCAGUGCGAGCGGUGUGGCCGAGGACCGUGGCAAGAGCCCUGCAGCCUAACUAGUUGACACCAGAGUAUAGUAGUUUACCAUUUUGGAUUUCAUGUGAUACAUUUUGAUGUACAGAAACUUGUAAAUGAGUGUAUAAAGGGCAUAUAAAUAACUAAAUGUUUCAGUUAUUCAGU